ensembl:miRNA lin-4 miscRNA
AUGCUUCCGGCCUGUUCCCUGAGACCUCAAGUGUGAGUGUACUAUUGAUGCUUCACACCUGGGCUCUCCGGGUACCAGGACGGUUUGAGCAGAU